AAUAUAGUGCAAAUAUUAGAACAUAUUUUUUUUAAUCAUUUUUUACCUUCUUUCUGUUUUUACUUAGGCUUCGUUUGGAAUUGCGGAGAGAUUGCAUUACGUGCGGUGAGAAACGACGAUGAAAAAAUACCCUGUUUGUUUCCGUACACAAUAUUGCGUUCCACAUAUCGCAGUUAGUCGGUUACAAUAUAUUUUUCUCAACUUCAUUCUAACUAAUAGCGUUAGAUCCACCUCAAUACCAAACUAAGCCUUAUUCUUCUUCAGCAUCAUCUUCUUCUUUGCCUUUGGUCUUCUUCUACCCCUU
rnacentral:lncRNA from 1 species